CCUUGUUUAUUUCUCUUCAUUUUUUAUUCCUAUGGUUCUUUUCUUUAAAAAUAUCUUAUUUUAAUCAUCUCCUUCUCCAUCCACCAUUCUUCAUCUCCUUUCACUAAUCGCCUGGAGCUUUUAAUUAGUUUCACGUGUCAUAAAGUGUUUGUCAAAUCUUUGUGCACAUUUUCGUCUCACCAUUCGUCUCUGUCUAUGCUCUCAUCAUUACCUUUUCAUUUCCAAAAUAAUUCUAGUUCCUUUCUUGAAGAAUAUGACUAUUUAUACCUCAAAUAAUUUUCAGUUCUCCUAUUUGUGUUCUUUCAUUCAUCUCCCAACUUCCUUUUUUUUUUCACUUUUAUUUAGUCUUUCUCAAAUUAUUUUGCUAUGGAUGUUGGUUCCACUUUUGCUAGGAAAAGGAAUGCAUCUUCCCCUUUGAGAAGAAGUAACUCCCACUAUCUAAAGUUGCCUCAAUGUGAGAGACAUUCUACUCAAAUCGCAUGAAGCUCACAUUGCCCUACAAGAAGUUCACUAGAAGUUGUAAAUUAUCAACUGUCAAAUUGAGGAAGCAACUGAACUCUUAAAGAGUGUCCUUAGAUGUCUAGGAUUAGUUUCUUUUAAGUUUUCUUUUCUUUCCCUUCUCAGUUUUUUAUUGUUGUAAUCUUGGCUCUUAAAUCAAUGAAGUGAUGCCCU
rnacentral:lncRNA from 1 species